UGUACACAGAGGCCAGGGAAAGAUCUUGGGUAUCCUGCUCUUCCAGGGUCUCUCACUGACACUGGACCUAGACUGGAAGCCAGCACACCUCAGUGACCCUCUGUUCUCCACCCUGCACAGCACAGGCAGGAAAUUAAAACCACAGCUAGUGCCAGGCUCUUAUCGAAGAACCCGGAAGCCAUCUGGUUCUCAUGCCACCUUUAAAUAGAAGCCUCUGAGGAGCGCUCCUCUCUGCCACAACACCAGCUCAACCGAGGAGAUGUCCUGUCGACUCUGCAACUUUCCCCAAAAGCCAUGUGGUGUCAGCACGACACUCUUGUUCCCAGAGGACAUCCCAAGACAAGGUUGGAACUUGCCAUUUCAGACCCAAGGAGACCCAGCAAAAACUUCACUUACACAGAUUCAGGCCCAGAGAAGGUAAUGUGGUGCCUCGGGAUGCAUGUGCCAGGAAGAAAGGACAUUUCUGGA